UACGGGGGGGGCAAGCGUUGUUCGGAGUUACUGGGCGUAAAGGGCUCGUAGGCGGCCAACUAAGUCGGACGUGAAAUCCCUCGGCUUAACCGGGGAACUGCGUCCGAUACUGGAUGGCUUGAGUUUGGGAGAGGGAUGUGGAAUUCCAGGUGUAGCGGUGAAAUGCGUAGAUAUCUGGAGGAACACCGGUGGCGAAGGCGACAUCCUGGACCGGCAUUGACGCUGAGGCGCGAAAGCCAGGGGAGCAAACGGG
rnacentral:rRNA from 1 species